GUUAUUUUUGGUGAUGGUCAGUCUGGUCAACCACAAGGGAGACACAGAGGAGGCAAAGGAAAAAACAAGUUUCUUAUACUCAAGGUCCUAGAGGGACAGAGUCACUGCAUGCUGACAGGGAGUGAUGUGGAAAAGAGCACCAAGGAAAAAGGCUCAGCCAAGCAAGUGGGGAGCAGAGAGCGGGCAAACACCAGAAGCCAUAGGUUAAGACAUGAGGACUUCUACUGAAACUUCUCUAAAUAUGGAACCAAGACUUCAUCUGAGUUUGAGAUUAAGAGAAGAAAUUAUCACAGCUCCAUGAGGAAGAAAAAAUAAUCUGUGACUUCUGUACCUUCUUCAUGACCACCGGGCAAGACUGACUCUCUGACCAGUGCACAGGAGACUCAUCAAUAUCUAUCUAAGCCCUUUCUCUCUAACAGCUGCCAGAGUUUGGUCUUCUAUCAUCUCAGGCCAAGGAAGCGCAGUGGUUACACUCAUCUCCACUCCGGUCACCUGCUUUCCAUUUUAUGCGAGCAGGUCCUGCCUUACAAAAUAAACGUAUCUGCUGAGAAAUGCCAAUGAGGGAGACAGAAGAGAUCUUCAAAGGGAAAGGCAGAUUUUGACCUGUUGGAAAGAAAGGCGUCCAAUGCUAAUAAGGAAAAGAGAAGAGCCUUCCUCUCCAUGCAGGUUUAAGUCUACUGAAAGUGGAAAUUACUCUUUUAUUUAUAAAUACUGAUAGGACUCUUUUGGUAGCAGGGAACAUGGACCCACUUAUG
rnacentral:lncRNA from 1 species